AUUGAACGCUGGCGGCAGGCCUAACACAUGCAAGUCGAACGAGUGGCGGACGGGUGAGUAAUGUCUGGGAAACUGCCUGAUGGAGGGGGAUAACGACUGGAAACGGUAGCUAAUACCGCAUACCAUCGGAUGUGCCCAGAUGGGAGUAGCUAGUGGGUGGGGUAACGGCUCACCUAGGCGACGAUCCCUAGCUGGUCUGAGAGGGUGACCGGCCACACUGGAACUGAGACACGGUCCAGACUCCUACGGGAGGCAGCAGUGGGGAAUAUUGCGCAAUGGGCGCAAGCCUGAUGCAGCCAUGCCGCGUGUAUGAAGAAGGCCUUCGGGUUGUAAAGUACUUUCAGCAGGGAGGCGUUACCCGAAGAGGAAGCACCGGCUAACUCCGUGCCAGCCGCCGCGGUAAUAC
rnacentral:rRNA from 1 species